UACGUAGGGUCCGAGCGUUGUCCGGAAUUACUGGGCGUAAAGAGCUCGUAGGUGGUUUGUCGCGUUGUUCGUGAAAACUCACAGCUUAACUGUGGGCGUGCGGGCGAUACGGGCAGACUUGAGUACUGCAGGGGAGACUGGAAUUCCUGGUGUAGCGGUGGAAUGCGCAGAUAUCAGGAGGAACACCGGUGGCGAAGGCGGUUCUCUGGGACGGUACUGACGCUGAGACGCGAAAGCGUGGGGAGCGAACAGG
rnacentral:rRNA from 1 species